rnacentral:lncRNA from 10 species
GAUCACCUCAAUCUAGGUAGUAACUGGGUUGAGUCAGGGUUGAAUUGCAGCCAGGUGAAGAUUUUCCUGCUUCCCCAUUGCCUUCUGCCAUGAUUGUAAGUUCCCCGAGGCCUCCUCAGCCAUGCUUCCCAAACAGCCUGUGGAACGAGAAAAGGCCAUGUGAUGACCUGGUGAGAAGGUGGCAAUCUGCAAGCCAAGAAGAGGGCUUUCACCGGAAACAAACUCUUCCAGAUCUUAAUUGUGGAUUUCUAGCCUCCAGAAUGAUAUUCUUUCAGAUACUGUGUACUGAUGAAACUGCUGACUCAGCUGGUCUGAAGGACCCCACUGGCACUGGCUGGUCUGAAGGACCCUGCUGAUCACAACUUGCCUGAAGGACCCUACUGACAUCAGCUGUUGUCCAAAGGACGCCACAAGAAACUGACUCACCAAAAAAUGCAUCCUGAUGAUUUCAUCCCCCUUAACCCGACCAAUCAACAACCCCAAAUCUACACAGCCCCUUUCCCUCCAUGAUUCCUACAAAACUCCAGCCCAGAACUCCUCAGGGAGAUGGAUUUGAAGGUCUCCUCCCUUCUACUUGCUUGAUGCCCUAUUAUUAUUAAACUCUUUGCUACAAACCCUGCUG